UACGAAGGGGGCUAGCGUUGCUCGGAAUCACUGGGCGUAAAGCGCACGUAGGCGGAUUGUUAAGUCAGGGGUGAAAUCCUGGAGCUCAACUCCAGAACUGCCUUUGAUACUGGCGAUCUUGAGUCCGGGAGAGGUGAGUGGAACUGCGAGUGUAGAGGUGAAAUUCGUAGAUAUUCGCAAGACCACCAGUGGCGAAGGCGGCUUGCCAGAACGCACUCGACGGUGAGGGAUGAAAGCUGGGGGAGCAAACCGG
rnacentral:rRNA from 1 species